rnacentral:rRNA from 1 species
UACGAAGGGAGCUAGCGUUGUUCGGAAUCACUGGGCGUAAAGCGCACGUAGGCGGAUUUGUCAGUCAGGGGUGAAAUCCCGGGGCUCAACCUCGGAACUGCCUUUGAUACAGCAAGUCUUGAGUUCGAGAGAGGUGGGUGGAAUUCCUAGUGUAGAGGUGAAAUUCGUAGAUAUUAGGAAGAACACCGGAGGCGAAGGCGGCCCACUGGCGCGAUACUGACGCUGAGGUGCGAAAGCGUGGGGAGCAAACAGG